GAUGAACGCUGGCGGCGUGCCUAAUACAUGCAAGUCGAGCGAACAGAUGAGAAGCUUGCUUCUCUGAUGUUAGCGGCGGACGGGUGAGUAACACGUGGGUAACCUACCUAUAAGACUGGGAUAACUCCGGGAAACCGGGGCUAAUACCGGAUAAUAUUUUGAACCGCAUGGUUCAAUAGUGAAAGACGGUUUCGGCUGUCAUUUAUAGAUGGACCCGCGCCGUAUUAGCUAGUUGGUAAGGUAACGGCUGACCAAGGCGACGAUACGUAGCCGACCUGAGAGGGUGAUCGGCCACACUAGAACUGAGACACGGUCCAGACUCCUACGGGAGGCAGCAGUAGGGAAUCUUCCGCAAUGGGCGAAAGCCUGACGGAGCAACGCCGCGUGAGUGAUGAAGGUCUUCGGAUCGUAAAACUCUGUUGUUAGGGAGGAACAAAUUUGUUAGUAACUGAACAAGUCUUGACGGUACCUAACCAGAAAGCCACGGCUAACUACGUGCCAGCCGCCGCAGUAA
rnacentral:rRNA from 1 species